CUUACAGAGUUCUUUGGCAUUCUGUCCACCUCCUAUCAAUCUCGAUCGAGAUUUCUGUGUUUAUAUGGAGGUGGGCAUACUGCCAACUGAGCUCUGCCGG
rnacentral:pre_miRNA from 1 species